rnacentral:antisense_RNA from 1 species
GUGCUGGCCACGCAGAAGGCUUAACCUGGCCGGCGCGGGAAUGGGGUGCAGAGAGCAAAGAAAUGUGGCUUUGAUCUUAUGAAUGCCUUACUUUUACAUUAUUUGUACAGUUCUUGCAGUGAGAUUUCCGGACCACUGUCUUGUAUGUUUCCUAAGAAAAGCAAAAAGGGAAGAGAUUGAAGAGAAAGUAGAUUUUCAGCUACAAACUUUCAUCCAUUAGCUUUCAGCUUAAGCAAAUGUGCGCAAAGUUGUCAUGGAUCUUUGCGGUCAAUAAAAACCAAGCAAGAAGACUGAAUCCCAAGUCAUCUGGGGCAGAUAAGAAAAGAAACAAUUUGCUGAAACUCCCUCUGCUUAUAACAAAACUGACUGAAAUCAGCUGGAAUCAAUAUGGCCAAAUGCAGUUUGCACACAGCAAGCUUGCUGAUGUCACAGCCUGAAUUUCUACCGCAUGUUUCAUAUGAACUCCCUCCAAAUUUGCGCAUAGGACCUAUGAGGAAGCAUGAAGAGAGAGCCAUCCAUGCCAGAAGACUUCCCAGAUGUUCCCUUUGCUUCCACCAAUUACCUGCUAACCCCAGGAUCCAACCCUAAACCUUCUGUAAUAAAAUUACUGCCUUAAAGCCAGUACAAGAAGACAGGUUUGAACCGGACUCCUGUUUCCUCAGAAGUUAACUUGCAAUGUGAAGCUUUUCUUUUCUCAAAAACCUGGUGUCAUAGUGUUGGCUUCUAGUGCAGUGAGCCCCUUUUGCUGCAUAACACUACCUGGUAAUUUGACAUACCAGGUGGUUAGUAACUACUGACUGCCUCCAGGUUGCAACACAAUUAUUACCCACUUGGGUGAAAAGAGAAGACAGGAAAUAAAUAUUGGAGUCGGCUGGCAACCUGUUUACAAAGCAAUUUACAACAGUUCCUUAUUCUUAAGGGGUUAUUCUAAUGUAAGACCUCAGAGAAACAGUGCAGUGUGACAAAGGAGGAAUUUAUCAAAGGAGACAGAAAAAGCAUCAAGGCAAGCUGUGAAAUGGUGCAGUAGGAACCAAAUAGAGAGCCAAAGGAUCUCUCUGUCACUGCAGGCCCUUAGGGUAAGCAAAUCCUUCCCUGAUCCCUGGUCUCCUUAUCUGUAAAUGAGAAUACCAGCACCCACCUCACUGUGCUGUAAACAUGAUGAGUUCCAACAAUAAUUUACAAAUUGUAAAAUCACACAAAUCUAA